AUGGCCACCAAGGUGAUGGAGUCCAUCAGAAAGUUUGGCCUGGCUUUAGCAGUUGCAGAAGGUGUGGUAGUGGACUCUGCCUCAUAGAAAAUGGACAGAAUCCAGUUAUCUUUUACUGCUACUCUUCAGCCAUGGAAUGUUCUAGUUAGCAAAGAUUUGUAGAACAUCAGCAUCAUUGGACAUUCAGCUGGUGGCCAGCCAGCUUCCUCCUAUCUAAAACUGCAUUGUGGAGAUCUCUGUUGAGUGGUUGCUAUCAUUCUCACCACAGAUACCCUCAAGUCAGUCGUGGCCUACUUUGAUGCUAGAGAUAUGUGGUGGAAAAGGCUGAGCAGCAUAAGGCGGCAGCCAUUAUCUGGUAAGGGUGACUUCAAGGCAAAUGAACAGGUGGUCAACUCACUGGCCACUGCUGGUGAUGGCCUAAUUGAGCUGUGCAAGCUUGAAGCUGCUGAGGCUGUUGCUGCAUAACAGCUUUCCUGCACUCAGAAUAUUGCCUACCUGCCAGUGGGGCAGUUUGUGCUCCUCCAGCUUUCUCAGGGA
rnacentral:lncRNA from 1 species